UACAGAGGGUGCAAGCGUUGUUCGGAAUUAUUGGGCGUAAAGGGUGCGUAGGCGGUGCGGUAAGUCUCUUGUGAAAUCUCCAGGCUCAACCUGGAGCCUGCAAGGGAAACUGCCGGGCUUGAGUAUGGGAGAGGUGAGUGGAAUUCCUGGUGUAGCGGUGAAAUGCGUAGAUAUCAGGAGGAACACCUGUGGCGAAAGCGGCUCACUGGACCAUAACUGACGCUGAUGCACGAAAGCUAGGGGAGCAAACAGG
rnacentral:rRNA from 1 species